UACGUAGGGACCAAGUGUUGUUCGGAUUUACUGGGCGUAAAGGGCGCGUAGGCGGCUUGACAAGUCACUUGUGAAAUCUCCGGGCUUAACUCGGAACGGCCAAGUGAAACUGUCAUGCUAGAGUGCAGAAGGGGCAAUCGGAAUUCUUGGUGUAGCGGUGAAAUGCGUAGAUAUCAAGAGGAACACCUGAGGUGAAGACGGGUUGCUGGGCUGACACUGACGCUGAGGCGCGAAAGCCAGGGGAGCAAACGGG
rnacentral:rRNA from 1 species